CCUACGGGAGGCAGCAGUAAGGAAUAUUGGUCAAUGGACGCAAGUCUGAACCAGCCAUGCCGCGUGAAGGAUUAAGGCCCUCUGGGUUGUAAACUUCUUUUAUAGGGGACGAAAAAAGGGCAUUCUUGCUCACUUGACGGUACUCUAGGAAUAAGCACCGGCUAACUCCGUGCCAGCAGCCGCGGUAAUACGGAGGGUGCAAGCGUUAUCCGGAUUUACUGGGUUUAAAGGGUGCGUAGGUGGGUUGGUAAGUCAGUGGUGAAAUCUUCGAGCUUAACUCGGAAACUGCCAUUGAUACUAUCAAUCUUGAAUCAUCUAGAGGUAAGCGGAAUAUGUCAUGUAGCGGUGAAAUGCUUAGAUAUGACAUAGAACACCAAUUGCGAAGGCAGCUUACUAUGGAUGUAUUGACACUGAGGCACGAAAGCGUGGGGAUCAAACAGGAUUAGAUACCCUGGUAGUCCACGACCUAACGAUAGANACUACACAUUGUGUAUAUACUAUAGUAGU
rnacentral:rRNA from 1 species